GACGAACGCUGGCGGCACGCUUAACACAUGCAAGUCGAACGAGCUGAGAGAGCUUGCUCUCAAAGCGAGUGGCGGACGGGUGAGUAACACGUGAGCAACCUGCCUUUAAGAGGGGAAUAACGUUUGGAAACGAACGCUAAUACCGCAUAAUACAGAAGAUUCGCAUGUUUCUUCUGUCAAAGAUUUAUCGCUUAAAGAUGGGCUCGCGUCUGAUUAGCUGGUUGGUGAGGUAACGGCCCACCAAGGCGACGAUCAGUAGCCGUACUGAGAGGUAGAACGGCCACAUUGGGACUGAGACACGGCCCAG
rnacentral:rRNA from 1 species